AACGAACGCUGGCGGCAUGCCUAACACAUGCAAGUCGAACGAGACCUUCGGGUCUAGUGGCGCACGGGUGCGUAACGCGUGGGAAUCUGCCCUUUGCUUCGGAAUAACACAGAGAAAUUUGUGCUAAUACCGGAUAAUGUCGUAAGACCAAAGAUUUAUCGGCAAAGGAUGAGCCCGCGUAAGAUUAGCUAGUUGGUGGGGUAAUGGCCUACCAAGGCGACGAUCUUUAGCUGGUCUGAGAGGAUGAUCAGCCACACUGGGACUGAGACACGGCCCAGACUCCUACGGGAGGCAGCAGUGGGGAAUAUUGGACAAUGGGCGAAAGCCUGAUCCAGCAAUGCCGCGUGAGUGAUGAAGGCCCUAGGGUUGUAAAGCUCUUUUACCAGGGAUGAUAAUGACAGUACCUGGAGAAUAAGCUCCGGCUAACUCCGUGCCAGCCGCCGCCGUAACAC
rnacentral:rRNA from 1 species